rnacentral:tRNA from 2 species
UCGUAGCUUAAUUGGAUAGAGCAUCUGACUACGGAUCAGAAGGUUGUGAGUUCGAGUCCCGCCGA